rnacentral:sRNA from 1 species
CCCUUGGACUAUUACAUCAAACUAAAGUAGAAUAUUUUCGGAUAUUUGAAAUAGGGUAGGUUGAAUAGGGAA